CAGAAAGAGGCCUGAGAAGGCGUACUUUUAUUGGGUUACAAGUGAACAAGGCUCCUUUGAUUUGUUUAAGGAUGUCGUGGAUGAUAUUGCACAAUAUGAUUCAGAUAAUGUGAUAGAAAUCUGUUACUACUUGACUAGUGUGUAUGAAGAAGGUGAUGCUCGAUCUGUACUUAUACAAAUGGUACAAUCAUUGCAGUAUGCUAGGAACAGAGUUGACGUGAUUUCUGAAAGCCAGAUAAAAACAUAUUUUGCAAAACCUGAAUGGUACAAGGUAGGUGAGAAACUAGCUGCCACACACAAAUCACAAAAAAUAGGUAAUUUUUUUUUUUUUUCAAAGUAUCUGAAUUCUGAAAGGGGCAGUAAUUUAGUUAUGUUUGAUUUUGUUGUACUUGACAUAGCGCCUUGACUGAUGAAUGUUUAAAUCUGUAUCUUCAUUAUAUUGUAGGUGUAUUUUGUUGUGGAAAUCAAAGUGAGAUAAAAUUACUGAGGAGGUUUUGCAAAUAUGUUGGCCUUAACAUUACCUUCCACUUCCACAAGGAGAACCUUUAGGGUUCGGAUACAGCAGAAAAUCCUGCAGGGGAAAUUACAAAUGAAUGCAAACCUGUCCAAUUGAUUAUUCAAGAUUCAUCCCUUUCAAGCUUCUCAUGAUGUUCAAGGCCCUGUACCAAUUUGCUCGGUUUGUUAACUAAAACAAAUAACUAAUUUCUGUUAGACUAAUUUUAUGAAUGUUUUCAUAAUAUUUUUUUUAUUUUUUUUUUAUUUUUAUGGGGGGAAUCAUCUGUUAUUUACUGAUGAUUUGUGUGAAAAGUGAACCUUCUUGCAUUUCUUUUCAGAAACAACUACCAUGGUUAAAAUUCUGGUUUAAUGCUAUGUAACCUUCAUUUGUAUACAAAUAAAACACGGAUCUUCAUCAAAGUGUGUCUCUAUAUCACAGAUUCUUUUAUUGUUUCCAGUAAUGUAGUCUGAUUUUAGCAUAUAUUCCUUUUCUAAUGCUUGCUUCUGCAUAUGUCAAGUGUUUCAAAUUGCCAUGCUUUCUUGAUGUUGUGCUAUACAGACA